UCAUCAUGAGGGCUAACUCCACUUUAAGUCUGCUAACUACUACACAUCCAGUAUUGAAUUAGUAUCAAAAGGUGACAUGAAGCAGAUUAAAGCAAAGAUUUCAUGAGAUAACAACAAUCUCAUAAACCAACAAAGUGGAAACUGUGGAUCAUGGAAGAAAACAAAACAGAUACAUAUUAACUAAACUUGAUAUAAGACACAGAUUCAUUCUCAAGGACAAAUGGAUGAAACCCCUAUAACAUGCUUUCUUUAUUUAAUAGUU
rnacentral:misc_RNA from 1 species